GCUUAAAACCGUUUUAAAUCUUAAUUUCAAACUUUAUUUUAAUUAACGAAGUUUUAUUGCGAUUAAGUUUUUAAUAUCGUUACACGAUUUAUUUAUUUUUCAGAUUUUAUAAUUUAAUUAUUUACGAGCUUAAACUACCUUUUUAAAUCUUGUUUAUUUCGAAUUUUUGAUAAUUUCGGAACGUUUUUAUUUUAUUCGAAAAUUAAAUGUAUUUUAUUGUUAUCGAUAUUUUACAAAAAUUAUUUGAAAAUCUGAUUUUAAUUAAACAUUCCUAUUUAUAUCAAUUCCUAAAUAUAGCAAAGAAAUUUUCAGAAAUUUUUCCUAAUUAAGUAAAAUUACCAAAAUGCCCCUAAGGAACAAAUUGGCAUCUUUCUUGCUCCUUCCUUGCUAUUCACGUACAAACAACAACAUACAAACAACAACAAGAAUGAAGGAAUUCCUUCAUUCCUCUCUACCCACAAUUCAGUCUACAUUCACUUGCUUAAUCCCCAAGUAUUUUAGCUUCUUCUUCACUCUACUUUCAGCCAUAUAUGUUCCAUUCUUUUUCAACCAAAAAUCAGUUACCAAAAAAAAAAACUGAAAAUCAACUCCUUUGUUUUCUUUGAUUCCAACCACCACCACCGCCGGUGGCUGCCGCCACUGCAACCCACCACCACCACCAUUAUCCUCCUCGACUCCUCCACCACCCACUGUCCGUCACCACCGCAACCACCUAGAACCACCACCGCACCACCGUCCCUGCUUCCCCUCUCUCUCGCAACUCCCCUGCCUCCCCCUCUUUUCUCUUCGCUGUACCACACCCGCAACCACCAGCGUCGCACCACCACUCCCAGCAAUCCUCUCCACUAUGUGAACCUACCUCCGUCCCCAAUAACCGUCGCGCCGCCGCCCAGAACCAAACAUAAAUACUCCCCUGUAAUUCCCGUGUUUUGCGCAACCUCACCCCCUUCCUCGUUGUUUCUCCGCCGUGAACCACCCACCCCCACCGGCGCGGUUCCGCGCUGAUGCGCCGCCCAUAAAUCCGGCCGCCACCCAACCUCCUUCUUCCUUCCCCUCUCCUCCCUCGUGCCCCUCCCCUGUUUCCCCUGCUUCGUGCCCCUGUUUCCCAAAGGAACGAGUUCCAGUAUUGGAACUUUGUUCCUUGUAUUACUCAAAAAAUUGGACUCGGUGCUCAGGAAGGACGAUCCAUCAGACAGGAAGUAUAAAAACUACGGUUGAGGUACUACUGGGGACCACGGAAACGAGUAGUGGCGAGGAUUUCACUAUGUUCACCUAAGUUACUGUUAAGUUGUAACAAGUUUAAGUAAAGAUUCGAGAUUAAGUUAUGUACUUUGAUUAAGGAAUUGAGAAGGAUGAUUAUGUGAAUUUUGGAGUUUAAUAGCUUAUGAUUGAUAGUUGCCUUGUAAUUCCCAAGAGGGAGUUACGGCGGGUAAUGUCCCGACCGAAUUAGGUUAAUUCCGCUGCUAAUUAUGAUUAAAUAAUUGAAUUAGA